rnacentral:lncRNA from 1 species
UCGGCCAUUUCUGCUUACGCCUUCCUUGCAGCCUGGGAAUGAAACAGAGGAGAGGUACAACCGGGCGCACAUCUCCACACGGAAUUUGGUUGAAAGGACAUUUGGUGUAUGGAAGAGGACAUUCUAUGAUUUACAUGGGGAAAUACGCAUGAAGCCUCAGAGGGUGACACGUGUAAUCGUGGCGUGUGCUGUCCUCCAUAAUCUGAGGCUGCAGUGGGGUGAACCAGAGGUGGAAGAAGCCGGUGACCUGGAUCAGCCGCCCGCCGACAUCUUUAAUGGCCGAAUGGAUGGGCGAGGAGUUCGAGACCAUGUGGCUCAUGCUUAUUUUCAGAAUCAGUAAUAACAGAAGAAACCGAUGAUUAAAUCACACCAUACAUUGACGUUUUAUGGAAAGUGAAGACUUGACACUUU